GGAUGCGAUCAUACCAGCACUAAAGCACCGGAUCCCAUCAGCGUGCUUGGGCGAGAGUAGUACUAGGAUAGGUGACCUCCUGGGAAGUCGUCGUGUUGCAUUCC
rnacentral:rRNA from 1 species